rnacentral:rRNA from 1 species
GUAAUGCGUAGGAAGCUGCCCGAUAGAGGGGGAUACCAGUUGGAAACGACUGUUAAUACCGCAUAAUGUCUACGGACCAAAGUGUGGGACCUUCGGGCCACAUGCUAUCGGAUGCGCCUACGUGGGAUUAGCUAGUUGGUGAGGUAAUGGCUCACCAAGGCGACGAUCUCUAGCUGGUUUGAGAGGAUGAUCAGCCACACUGGAACUGAGACACGGUCCAGACUCCUACGGGAGGCAGCAGUGGGGAAUAUUGGACAAUGGGCGCAAGCCUGAUCCAGCCAUGCCGCGUGUGUGAAGAAGGCCUUCGGGCUGUAAAGCACUUUCAGCGAGGAGGAAGGGAUGUAUGUUAAUAGCAUGCAUUUUUGACGUUACUCGCAGAAGAAGCACCGGCUAACUCUGUGCCAGCAGCCGCGGUAAUACAGAGGGUGCAAGCGUUAAUCGGAAUUACUGGGCGUAAAGCGCACGUAGGCGGUUAGUUAAGUUGGAUGUGAAAGCCCCGGGCUCAACCUGGGAAUUGCAUUCAAAACUGGCUAACUAGAGUAUGUGAGAGGGGGGUAGAAUUCCAAGUGUAGCGGUGAAAUGCGUAGAGAUUUGGAGGAAUACCAGUGGCGAAGGCGGCCCCCUGGCACAAUACUGACGCUGAGGUG